rnacentral:lncRNA from 1 species
GUAGGAGCCGUGAAGAGAAAUGGUGGGUGCAUAUUUUUUGCACAAGGACACUGUCCUUUCGGGAUUGACUGCUGGUUUUCUCACCUGGGUGGUGAAAGAAGUUGCAUUGGUGAAGCUAGUACCUCAAGGUUGGGUCGAUGUUUCUCAAACGAGUUGGGCUUACCGGGGAUUUCACCACCUCUUGGGAAUGAACAUGAACCUCCUUGGAAUAACCAUGAAAGAGCUGACGCUCCUUCCUGAUUUGGUGAAUGGACUUGCUCACGUUACUCUCUCUAUCUGUUUUCUGAUUGUCUUAUUGGUCCCUCUGCAGGCAAAUCCAUCGCUCGGAAGAAACAAUCUCAUAGAUGUUCAACUCUCUAAUCAGGAUCUCAAAGAUGUUCAUCUUGCUGUUGAGGUACACUCUCACUAAUUUUUUCUCCUUCCUCUGUUCCCUGAGGUCUAAUUUGUCCUGUCUUCAUCAUUGUUAGUGUUUAGAUGUUUAUUAAGUCCAUAAUAGUUGUAGAAUCUCACACACAAGGACACUUCUUCUCUUUCACUCUUUAUUUCUUUCUCUGCGUUUUUUUUUGUUCAUUGGUACCUCUUUCUUCAAAAAUGGUGAAUGGACUUGCUCAGGUUACUCUCUCUAUCCGUUUUCUGAUUGGUCCCUCUGCAGGUAAAUCCAUCGCUAGGAAUAAAAAAUCUCAUAGAUGUUCAUCUCUCUAAUCAGGAUCCCAAAGAUGUUCAUCCUGCUGUUGAGGUACACUCACACUAAUGUCUUCUCCUUAUUCUGUUCUCUGACUUUGUUUCUGCCAAAAAAUAUGUUGAAUGUAUCUGCUCUAUGUGUUCGUGGGCUGAUUUGUCAUGUUUUCAUCGUUGGUCACAGACAAACGAUUCCGUGUGUCCUUCCCCACUACGUGACAGACUUGCAGCUGACAGUGUAGGAGCCGUGAAGAGAAAUGGUGGGUGCAUAUUUUUUGCACAAGGACACUGUCCUUUCGGGAUUGACUGCUGGUUUUCUCACCUGGGUAGUGAAAGAAGUUGCAUCGGUGAAGCUAGUACCUCAAGGUCGGGUUACUGGUUCUCAAACGAGUUGGGUUUACCUGGGAUUUCACCACCUACUGGGAAUGACGAUGAACCUCCAGGGAAUGACGAUGAACCUCCUGGGAAUAACUCUGAAAGAGCUGCAGUUAUAAGAAACAUAGUAUGCGAACUUGAGAACCAGUCGCUCCUUCCUGAUCUUGUGAGGGAACUUUUUGGCUCCGCUGUGUACAGGAGCUGCUGCAAAGAAGGAACGCCUCGGGGUAUAUCCUGCUGGUUUCAACCAGAAGUACAAAGCCUUCCGAUUUUCAAUAACCAAUUUUUAAGUUGGCGUUCUCCAAAAAGGGUAUGUUAAUUUUAUUAACUGUCUUAGUUUUCAGUUUAAUAUUUUUUUUAAUUCUCUCACUCUUGUUUCAGUCUAACUCCCCUUGGGAAGAUGGAGUUACAAGGGUUGAUAGAAGAUGGGUUCAACUUACUGUAGAAGAGAAGAAUAUUGUUGGACCUAUUCGUUCUAAACAAGAAGAGGACAUAGUAGGACUUGUCCGAGACCAGAAGGUUCACUGUAAGUCUUUAAUUUUUUCAACCUGUGUGUUUAGAAGGCAUAGUCUCUUAGAGGCGCUAGCUUGGUGCGUCUUACAGUUUUCUUUACAAAACAUGGAGCGCCCUUGUUAAUUCAAAGUUUUGGGUUUUGUUUUUACAGUGCUUUGCUGGGCUUACGUGGCAGUGGACCUUGUCAGUGCCAUGAGGUUAAUAAACGGGCAAGAUGAUACAUUUGUUCCGUUAAGUGUAAGGGAGCUAUGUUUCUAUGCAAGACCUGGAGAGCGGAUCCUGCGUACAGUGCAAAAAAUAGGGCACAGGUGCCAUGAGCUUCGUGUUGAGUUUGCUUUUGACUACAUAAUGAGUACGGGAGUAAGAAGACAAGGAGGGAACGAAGAGACAUUUGACUGCGUAGAAGGUGGUUCUGGUGAAGGAGAGGAUACGGUUCGAAUAGAAGAUUACACCUUUCUUGGCAGGGAUUUCAAGGCUGCUCUAAAGAGACUUCAGUUGCAACCAAUAGGAGCAUCACUACACGUAUUUGAGGAGUACUGGGAUAUCAAAAAGGUAAAUAGAUUUUAAAUAAAUUUUCUAUUUUAUAGAUUUUAUUGACUUGUUCUAAAUUGUUUGUCAUAGCAGGGAGACAUUUAUCGCGGACCCACGAGCAACAGUACCAAGUAUUACGGUCUUCAUGCAGUUGUUGUUGUGGACGCAUUCUUCAUUGACAGUGAACUCAUUUUUUGGUGCAAGUCCAGCAGCGGUAAACAACUCCAUGAUGAAGGUUAUAUCAUGGUGUCUGCAGCCAUAAUGGUCUUGGGUCUCCAUUACGAGAGUGACAACGACGAACCAACAUUUGGCAUUAGAGACCAGCGAAGAAGCAAAACGGCACUUUACGAACCAGCAUAUCUCAUUAGUGAUUUUGUGUAUCCCAGGAUGAAGGCCAAGUCAAAGAAGCAGGCAAAUCCAUCGCUAGGAAGAAACGAUCUCAUAGAUGUUCAUCUGUCCAAUGAGGAUUUCAAAGAUGUCCAUCCUGCUGUUGAGGUACACUCACACUAAUUUCCUCUCCUUCUGUUCUCUGAGUUUGUUUCUGCAAAAAAAUAUGGUGAAUGUAUCUACUCUUAUGUGUUCGUUGUCUGAUUUGUCCUGUCUUCAUCAUUGGUUACAGACAAACGAUUCGGUGUGUCCUUCCCCACCACGUGAUAGAUUUGCAACUUACAGUGUAGGAGCCGUGAAGAGAAAUGGUGGGUGCAUAUUUUUUGCACAAGGACACUGUCCUUUCGGGAUUGACUGCUGGUUUUCUCACCUGGGUGGUGAAAGAAGUUGCAUUGGUGAAGCUAGUACCUCAAGGUUGGGUCGAUGUUUCUCAAACGAGUUGGGCUUACCGGGGAUUUCACCACCUCUUGGGAAUGAACAUGAACCUCCUUGGAAUAACCAUGAAAGAGCUGACGCUCCUUCCUGAUUUGGUGAAUGGACUUGCUCACGUUACUCUCUCUAUCUGUUUUCUGAUUGUCUUAUUGGUCCCUCUGCAGGCAAAUCCAUCGCUCGGAAGAAACAAUCUCAUAGAUGUUCAACUCUCUAAUCAGGAUCUCAAAGAUGUUCAUCUUGCUGUUGAGGUACACUCUCACUAAUUUUUUCUCCUUCCUCUGUUCCCUGAGGUCUAAUUUGUCCUGUCUUCAUCAUUGUUAGUGUUUAGAUGUUUAUUAAGUCCAUAAUAGUUGUAGAAUCUCACACACAAGGACACUUCUUCUCUUUCACUCUUUAUUUCUUUCUCUGCGUUUUUUUUUGUUCAUUGGUACCUCUUUCUUCAAAAAUGGUGAAUGGACUUGCUCAGGUUACUCUCUCUAUCCGUUUUCUGAUUGGUCCCUCUGCAGGUAAAUCCAUCGCUAGGAAUAAAAAAUCUCAUAGAUGUUCAUCUCUCUAAUCAGGAUCCCAAAGAUGUUCAUCCUGCUGUUGAGGUACACUCACACUAAUGUCUUCUCCUUAUUCUGUUCUCUGACUUUGUUUCUGCCAAAAAAUAUGUUGAAUGUAUCUGCUCUAUGUGUUCGUGGGCUGAUUUGUCAUGUUUUCAUCGUUGGUCACAGACAAACGAUUCCGUGUGUCCUUCCCCACUACGUGACAGACUUGCAGCUGACAGUGUAGGAGCCGUGAAGAGAAAUGGUGGGUGCAUAUUUUUUGCACAAGGACACUGUCCUUUCGGGAUUGACUGCUGGUUUUCUCACCUGGGUAGUGAAAGAAGUUGCAUCGGUGAAGCUAGUACCUCAAGGUCGGGUUACUGGUUCUCAAACGAGUUGGGUUUACCUGGGAUUUCACCACCUACUGGGAAUGACGAUGAACCUCCAGGGAAUGACGAUGAACCUCCUGGGAAUAACUCUGAAAGAGCUGCAGUUAUAAGAAACAUAGUAU